GUGUUCGCUUCAGCAGCACAUAUACUAAAAUUGGAACAAUACAGAGAAGAUUGGCACGGCCCCUGUGCAAGGAUGAGAUGCAAAUUUGUGAAGUGUUCCAUAUUGAA